rnacentral:tRNA from 1 species
CGCGGGGUGGAGCAGUUGGUCGCUCGCCAGGCUCAUAACCUGGAGGUCAUUGGUUCGAGUCCGGUCCCCGCAA